ACACACACGCACACACACAAAAAAAAAAGAGAGAAAAAGAAAAGCAGCAGCAUGACAUAAAACAGACAUGUUGGUGUUAUGUAUCCACUUGCAAGCCAGAUUGAGGGAAGCUUUUGUCUUCAGCUGCUUUCUGUCAUACAGUCUGCUGACCUGAUUUUACCCAAGCAUGCUAAGAGAUGCACAUAUUCACAGUCUUUGUUACAUGUGUGAUAUCCCAUUUUUCCACCAACACUGGUGUAUGCGACCCACAGAAGCACAGAAAAUAUGUUGGCUCUGCAGAAGAAUAUCGACCUUAAUCAUCCAGAAAGUGCUAUCGCAUACAGGAAAUAAAUGCUAGGAAAUAGAAUAUUUUCUGAUUUUCUUCUAUAUUAUGUUCUCAACUGUAAAAUAAUUGUCAUAAUUGGUGUUUACUAUGCAAUCUAACUUUAAUUAUGAAUGAUGAAGAGUUAUUUCUUAUAAUUCCAGUUGUAGAUACCCCCAAAGACCCAGAUGUGAGAGCUGACUCUGGAAGUCAGCCAGUGUCCACAGGCUCUGGAGCCAGCAUGAGGACUGCAUCCUCAUGGCCUUGGUAGGGGCACUGGGGACCCAUGUCAUAAGGCUGCUUAAGUGCCCGUGGUCUAUAGAACUCUUUGGAUUGCUAUUUUGUUCUUCAAGGCUUUUUAUCCCCUCUUAGGCACAAGUGUAAAGGCCCUGGAGUCCAGCUUCCUACCUGAGAAUCCCCAGCAUUCCCCAAAGGGAACAGGAAAGCGGUGAAGGAAGAGAAUCAGCAGGAGACUGCAUCAACAGUAGAAGAAAUUGGAAAAAAAUGGAGGAAGGUAGAUGGAGGUGAAGAAGAAGAAAAGAUAAAUAACAGAGAAAGGUGAAAGAAAAUGCAAUCAGAGAAAAACAGAAAAGAGGAAGACAGGACGAGAGAACAGGAGACUGUACUGUAAUUUGUGAACUGGCCCUUUGUAAAGUCUCCACAAAGUCUGCUUCUGAGGACUUCAGCAGACCAUCUACUGCUGUCUAUCACUGCAAUCAACCUGAAUGGUGUUGUGCCUCCUGAGCCCUGGUGAAGGUGGAUCCUUUUCCAUCAGUUGUUCUUCAUCUGGAGGUGGAUUCACUUCCCCAGGCUCUACGUUCUCCUCAUCCGCUUUCAUUGCCUCCUCAUCAAAUCUCCACCCCAUCAACUCUGGCUCUUUAGAGGGGAGAGGAUCCAUUGUCCUUCCUAGAACAUAGACAAGUGGUCCUUUGAUGUGUUUGCACCAAAUUAUACUGGUGGAGAUCAUGCACUGAAAUUCAUUUUCUCUGAACUUCUCACAUGCUAUGAUCUGAUCAAUUGUUUCAAGAUUCCCAUUUCUGCCCUGGUGUCCUUUGUGGAAGCUCUGGAGGUUGGAUACAGCAAACA